GACGAACGCUGGCGGCGUGCCUAAUACAUGCAAGUCGAACGCUUUUUCUUUCACCGGAGCUUGCUCCACCGAAAGAAAAAGAGUGGCGAACGGGUGAGUAACACGUGGGUAACCUGCCCAUCAGAAGGGGAUAACACUUGGAAACAGGUGCUAAUACCGUAUAACACUAUUUUCCGCAUGGAAGAAAGUUGAAAGGCGCUUUUGCGUCACUGAUGGAUGGACCCGCGGUGCAUUAGCUAGUUGGUGAGGUAACGGCUCACCAAGGCAACGAUGCAUAGCCGACCUGAGAGGGUGAUCGGCCACACUGGGACUGAGACACGGCCCAGACUCCUACGGGAGGCAGCAGUAGGGAAUCUUCGGCAAUGGACGAAAGUCUGACCGAGCAACGCCGCGUGAGUGAAGAAGGUUUUCGGAUCGUAAAACUCUGUUGUUAGAGAAGAACAAGGAUGAGAGUAAAAUGUUCAUCCCUUGACGGUAUCUAACCAGAAAGCCACGGCUAACUACGUGCCAGCAGCCGCGGUAAUACGUAGGUGGCAAGCGUUGUCCGGAUUUAUUGGGCGUAAAGCGAGCGCAGGCGGUUUCUUAAGUCUGAUGUGAAAGCCCCCGGCUCAACCGGGGAGGGUCAUUGGAAACUGGGAGACUUGAGUGCAGAAGAGGAGAGUGGAAUUCCAUGUGUAGCGGUGAAAUGCGUAGAUAUAUGGAGGAACACCAGUGGCGAAGGCGGCUCUCUGGUCUGUAACUGACGCUGAGGCUCGAAAGCGUGGGGAGCGAACAGGAU
rnacentral:rRNA from 1 species